rnacentral:miRNA from 1 species
GAAAACCGAAACGAACUUUAUG